rnacentral:tRNA from 1 species
UCUAAAAUGGCAGACAGAUGUAUAGGAUUUAAGCUCCUAUCAGGAAGAUUUUUCUUCUUUUAGAA